GUUAGAAAGCAGAAACUAACACACCAUUGUAAAGCAAUUAUACUCCAAUAAAGAUGUAAAAAAAAAAAAGAGUGGCCCCAGCUCUCCGCAACUAGAGAAAGCCCUCGCACAGAAACAAAGACCCAGCACAGCCAAAAAUAAAUAAAUAAGUAAAUUAAUUAAAAAAAAAAGAAUGGGUUUUGAGGACAUCAAUGGGGAGUCUUUCCUCUGCCUAACCAUCUUUGCUCUUGCCCCAUUUUCCUUCGAGGAAUCUUGAUCCUGUGUGACUUGCCUCCCCCUAUACCAAGCUCACCUACCUUUUGAAGCGUAAUUGAUUCCACUCCUGCCAGACAGCCUGGGAUCUGGCUCGCCCAGGGUCCUGCACUGAGCAGAAAACUCAUUCUCAUAGGACCCAGGAUGGAUCGUCGUCAGCCACUGGCCACAGGGUGGAGUGGAUAGUGGCUCUGAGUUAGCCUGAGAAUAGCCACAUCAGGAGAGAAGGCUCUAGGUGUGCCGAGAAAGGCUUUCCUGCUUUUCAUACCUUGGACCCCAUCUUUGAAGAAAAAGAAGUCCUGACUCUGAAGAUCAAAGUUCACCUUGCAUCUUGAAACAGAUCUCAGUUCUACUCCCAAAUCCUGCUUCUACUUUAUCCUCUUCAUCACCCUUGUGAUUACAUGGUGCCCAGGAUAAUCUCCUUAAUUUGAGCAACAUGAUUGACCCAGACAAGCUGAGGGGAGAGUGCUCCUGGUGGUCAGUAGCUGCACUUUCUGCUCUGCCUAGCUGGGACCCAGUCUGGAAACGUGGAGCAGAAUUCUGUACCUGUUCCAGCCACCACAAUGACACCUUGCUUGAGCUUCAACGUAUCUUUUGAGCCUGGAGUCUCUUCUGGGAGAGUGUGAUUUGCGUCAGGAAAAUAAAUGUCUGGAUGUGAAAUUGUGU